AUUGAACGCUGGCGGCAGGCCUAACACAUGCAAGUCGAACGAGUGGCGGACGGGUGAGUAAUGUCUGGGAAACUGCCCGAUGGAGGGGGAUAACUACUGGAAACGGUAGCUAAUACCGCAUACCAUCGGAUGUGCCCAGAUGGGAUUAGCUUGUAGGUGAGGUAACGGCUCACCUAGGCGACGAUCCCUAGCUGGUCUGAGAGGAUGAUCAGUCACACGGGAACUGAGACACGUUCCAGACGCCUACGGGAGGCAGCAGUGGGAAAUAUUGGAAAAUGGGCGAAAGCCUGAUCCAGCCAUGCCGCGGGUGUGAAGAAGGUCUUCGGAUUGUAAAGCACUUUAAGUUGGGAGGCGUUACCAACAGAAUAAGCACCGGCUAACUUCGUGCCAGCAGCCGCGGUAAUAC
rnacentral:rRNA from 1 species